CCGAGCUUUAACCUUUGUUUAAGCUUUCUUGUUCUUGCAAUUACUAGUUGUGAUAAUUGUAUGGUGAUAAGAAUGCCUCUGCAGGACAAUAUAUUUUGCUGUUUCCACCGCGCCAUCACAUGAAACUUGGUGCUGUUGCUUCCUGGCUGGCUGUAGCUUUGCAUGAAGCAAGAAGAGAUGGCUUCACUUUGCUGGCCUAUUUUUUGCCCCCUCCGACUGAGAUGCCAAAGCAUAGAGGGAGCUUGAUAAAGCUUGGACGUUGGUCAGGGCUCCAACGGUGCUGAUGCUAUUGGGUUGGUUGUGGCCUCAUGCAUGGUAGUAGGCUUGGCUGGCCCCUGAUAUAGAGUGCUAUAUUGUUGAGAGUUUUACCUGUAGAGUGUCAUAUUGUGAUUGGUGGAAUAAUGUAUGGUGUAUAUUGUGAUUGUGUGGAAUAUUGUAAUAAACUGAGUUUGGCUGUUAUUUGAAUCGGUGUGUUGACUACAAGCUGUGAAAAAUUAAAACUUGAUGAUUGGUA